GUCCACGGCCAUACCACCCUGAACGCGCCCGAUCUCGUCUGAUCUCGGAAGCUCAGCAGGGUCAGGCCUGGUUAGUACUUGGAUGGCAGAAUAACUGGCACUGAGUAGG
rnacentral:rRNA from 1 species